CUUAAAGGAAAAAAGUCUAAAAACGCCACGUCCUGUGGCAACGACAGCGUGACCCGCAUCGUGCGGC
rnacentral:sRNA from 1 species